rnacentral:rRNA from 1 species
AAGACUUGGCGGUGCCCUAUACCACCUAGAGGAGCCUGUUCUAUAAUCGAUAACCCCCGAUUAACCUCACCAUCUCUUGCCAAUACCGCCUGUAUACCUCCGUCGUCAACUAACCCCCCGAGGGUAAAAGUUGGUUAAAUGGCUUACCACCAAAAAGUCAGGUCAAGGUGCAGCGAAUGAGAUGGGAAGAGAUGGGCUACAUUUUCUACCAAUAGACUACACGAAUAAUCACUAUGAAAUCUGAUUGGAAGGCGGAUUUAGCAGUAAAAAGAGAUUAGAGCGCUCUUUUUAAGUUGGCCCUAGGGCGCGCACACACUGCCCGUCACCCUCUUCAACUCUGUACCUCAUAUUUAUAAUUUCCUAAGAAGAGAAAAGAAGAGGCAAGUCGUAACAUGGUAAGUCCACCGGAAGGUGGACUUGG